rnacentral:tRNA from 1 species
GGGCGGUUGGCUCAGUGGUAGAGCGUCUGCCUUACAAGCAGAGGGUCACUGGUUCGAAUCCAGUACUGCCCA